rnacentral:lncRNA from 10 species
CACAGGACCACAUAGAGGAGAUUGGUCAUCAGUGUUUCUCAACAGAAGCGCUUUGGCCUUUUGGACAAGCCAGUUUACACACUGUAGGAAGAAGUUUAGCAUCUCUGGGCCCGGAUACCAAAGGCUAGUACCAGCCUCAUCAUUUUUACAACCAAAAAGGUGAAUCUACCAAGAAAUGCCUUGGUAGAGCUAGGAGUGCCAAUGGUAUCAGCAAGGCCAGCCUGGUUCCCUGUGAUUCAUGGUUCUAUAUUGGCUGUGAUCUUUGUACUAACUGGUAUUAUGGAGAAUGUGUUGGCAUCGCAGAAAAGGAGGCUAAGAAAAUGGAUGUGUACAUCUGUAAUGAUUGUAAACAGGCACAAGAGGGCAGCAGUGAGGAAUUGUACUGUAUCUGCAGAACACCUUAUGAUGAGUCACAGUGAGUUCUGAUAAGAGCAUCACAUUUAAUAAU